AGGGUAGGAUCAUCACUGGGGCUUGAAGGCCUCGGCCAGUGAAAUCGACUGACUGAUAGGGGAGUAAGGCUCCCUGGGGCUGCAUUCUGUGAAGAAACUGAGGCCUUUGCUGAUUUUGUCUAAAGAAGCUGCUGCCCAAUAGCUGGGACACAACGCGACCAAGUCCUUGCCUGAUGCAGCUGACUGAGUGAGAACCAUUUAUGGAAGCUACUGUUAAAAGCAUUGUCUUCCUAUAACUGGCUGGAUAAAUUCAGCCGCACAGUGGUGCUGGGUGAUCCUCUGUGAAGAGUUUUCCAUGUUUCCAGUGCAACAAUGAGUGUUACAGCUGAAGAAUGAAAGUAAAGCCUGGAGGUUCAGGUCAUCAACUCAAGAUGGUGAGACAGAGCCCCGCACUGGGCCGCAUACUUGGCAUGGAGCCUCCUCAAGAUUCUCUCUCUCCCCUUCCCUCUGUC